rnacentral:rRNA from 1 species
GACGGAGGGUGCUAGCGUUGUUCGGAAUCACUGGGCGUAAAGGGCGCGUAGGCGGCCUCAGGUGUCGGAUGUGAAAGCCCGGGGCUCAACCCCCGGAGGUGCAUCCGAAACUCUGGGGCUGGAGGUCGGAAGAGGAGGGUGGAAUACCCAGUGUAGAGGUGAAAUUCGUAGAUAUUGGGUGGAACACCGGUGGCGAAAGCGGCUCUCUGGUCCGGACCUGACGCUGAGGCGCGAAAGCGUGGGGAGCAACAGG